rnacentral:rRNA from 1 species
UACGAAGGGGGCUAGCGUUGCUCGGAAUGACUGGGCGUAAAGGGCGCGUAGGCGGCAGUUCAAGUCCGGGGUGAAAUCCUCCAGCUCAACUGGAGAAGUGCCUUGGAUACUGGAUUGCUCGAGGGAGGUAGGGGUCGAGGGAACUUCUGGUGGAGCGGUGAAAUGCGUUGAUAUCGAGAAAGGAACGCCGGUGGCGAAAGCGCUCGACUGGACCUCUUCGUGA